rnacentral:lncRNA from 10 species
AAAAAAAACAAAAAACAAAAAACAACCUGGGUGUGGUGGUGCACACCUGUAGUCCCAGCUUCUUGGGAGACUAAGGCAGGAGGAUUACAGGAGCUCAGGAGGUCAAGGCUGCAGUAAGCUCUGAUUGUGCCGCUGCAUGCACUCCAGCCUGGGCCACAGAAUGAGACCCUGUCUCUAAAAAAUAAUAAAAAUUAAAGGGGCUUUGCAAACGCGGAAGGUGUCUGGAUGAUUAUCCCCUGCAUGUGCAGUGCCUUGUUUACAAUUAAUUUGCUUUUUCCGUGUUUAUUCAACAAAUAUUUAUUGAGCCCUCACUCUCUGCCAAGCCCUGUGCUAGAUGCUGGAUAAGCAAGGUAAGUCUCUGCCCUCAAGGAACUUACACUCCAAUGUGACUCAAGGGGAAAAGAAUUUGAAAGUUGCUACUUACCCAGUCCCCUCACUGCACAGAAACUGAAGCCAGAGGUGUCCACACCUUUCUCCUUCCCAUGCUCUGAUAGCUCCUCACUGCUAAGCUCCCCAUUGCCCGUGACCCCAUGUGGCAGGUUUCCCGCCUGGGGUGCACUCCCAAAAUGGUUUAUGUAAAUAAUAUUGAAAAUUGGACCUUCUCUGCCAAUAAUGGGGCCGUUGCUUUUUGAAAAACUUCCCGUUGAUAGUGUCUCCUAUGACUACCCCUGUGUGGCUGUGUGGUUUACAGAUCCAGUUGCCUCUGCUCUUGCAUUGUGAGAGUCAGCAGAGGCCCAAGAAACCCCGAUACUAGUUUGCUGCUGUUGGUGGGUUUUUUGAGACAAGGUCUCUGUCGCUCAAGCUGGAGUGCAGUGGCGCGAUAACUCACUGCAGCCUCGAACUCCCGGACUCAAGCGAUCCUCCUGCCUCAGCCGCCCCAGUAGCUGGGAGUACAGGUGCACGCCACCACGCCGGUUGAUUUUUUUAAAAAUUUUGUAGAGAUAGGGUCUCGCUAUGUUGCUCAGGCUGGUCUUGAAC